GUUUGAAGAAAUUAAAACAAAGGCUUUAUGGUUAAAAACGCUUCUGCUGAGCAAAUUUGUAGUUUCACUUGUCGCGUCUUGACAUGUUUGCGUUGUACACGAGACGUGAAAAUCUCUGGUUUGCCGUUGUAAAAAGCACUAACACAGCGUCUCCAACUCCCGUGGAGCUUUUAAUUAUUCAUUUCUUUUGUACGAGAUCAGGAAUAUCAUUGUGUGAAUAGCCGUCGUCGUUGCGUUGCAGCAGGUAAAACUUUAUAGACGACCGCAAUUUUGUCUUGCUUUAGGAAUGGCUGAGCCAAUGUUUCUGCCGUCAUGCAGAAACUGAAAGUCAGCAUCGUGAAAAAGUCGACAUCCACCAUAAAAAAUUGUCGACUUGGACAAGACGCUGAAUGACAGUGAUGGACAAGACAGGAUAGAUGGAGUGGUUUCACCUAGUCACUAUACGGCACCGCGUGCAUCAGAUGCAUGGUGAUCAACCAGAAUUACUUAUAAUAUUCGAGUACUUAUUUGUCUGGGGCCGGUUGUUCAAAGCCCGAUUAGCGCUAACCCUGGGUUAAAUUUAACCUGCUGUUUUUGUUUAUGUAUUUCUGCGUGAUCAUACGUUUCAAAACUUUAGAAAAGAAAACCUCUAUUGAACCCGAAAGGAUUUCUGGAAAAACAUAUUCAACUUAAUUGUGAGCUGUUGGAAAUUUUAAUUUGUAGAUUUGUGUUAACCCAGGGUUAGGCUAACCGGCUUUUGAACAACCGGCCCCUACAGUAUAUUACAUGAAUUAUAUGGAAUCUAAUACUAUAAUAGUCACAGAGAUUAGGGUUAACGAAAUAGUAUUUCAGAAAAAUGCUUUGAAAACUACUUUACUUAAAGUACCUAAUACGAUAUUAAAACAUAUGUCGGGGGAAAAGCAUGCAGUAUACCUUAUUAUAGGAAAUUAACGAUGCACUUUAUUAACGCGGAUUUUAAAAAUUCGCGUUAAUUUAAUUAAUGUUAAUUUAUGUGAUCGUAAAUUUUAGGUAUGUAAUUUUCAUUUAUCGUUAGUUAAAAAUACCUAGAUUUGUUUUAUAUAACACUAACUCUUUUAAUAUCAAAAUACAGCAUAUUAACGUAAACUAAAAACAUCAGUGCUCCUCUUAACAUUAAACCUUUGUUGUUGUUGUUGUGUCUAUAUUUUCCGAUUCGCGUUAAUUUAAUUAAUUUGUCAACCAUGGAGAUCAGAUUCGCGUUAAUAUAAUCAUGUUUUAAAAGACCUAGAAGCAAUCCGCGUUAAUUUGAUGUCGCGUUAAUUUAUGUCGCGUUAAUAAAGUGCAUCGUUAAUUUCCUAUAAUAAGGUAAUUAAAAGUUAAUCUGGGGACGGAUCUACCGUGGGUGUGCAUAAUAAAAAGCCGAUAUAAACUUUAUAAACAAAAGAUAAUGCAACAGAACUUCGGCCAUCUCAAAUAUUUGUAAUGUUGGGAUAGUAGCGUAGCAGACUGCAGAGGAGAGUGAGUAGUAAGGCUCCCUCGUGCACCACCCCCAUGGUCUUUGCAGAUGAGGCUAGAUCCGCCCCUGUAAUUAAUAGUUAAAUUACCAUUAUAUUUGGCGACAAAAGGAAUGUAAUGUGAGGGGUUUAUAUUUAUACAGAAUUUAUUGUGUUUGGAAUUACCAAAUACAUCAAGUUAAUGACGUUAUCAACAAAAAUGUAGGUGGGUUUCAUCACGAUAUAUUGAAGUAGUUUUAAUUUCACACACGUUUGAGAAGGGAUUAGAUUUAGGCAUCUACUGUUUGUUUUUAAUAUUCUCACGCUCACAGAAUAAUUACA
rnacentral:lncRNA from 1 species